rnacentral:rRNA from 1 species
UACGAAGGGUGCAAGCGUUGUUCGGAAUUAUUGGGCGUAAAGCGCGCGCAGGCGGGAUAGGUAGUCAGAUGUGAAAACUCGAAGCUCAACUUCGAACUUGCGUCUGAAACUCCCAUUCUAGAAUGUCGGAGGGGUAAGGGGAAUUUCGCAUGUAGGGGUAAAAUCCGUAGAGAUGCGAAGGAACACCAGAGGUGAAGACGCCUUACUGGCCGAAUAUUGACGCUGAGGCGCGAAAGCGUGGGGAGCAAACAGG